rnacentral:tRNA from 1 species
GCCCUAGUAGCUUAAGCCUAAAGCGCUGGUCUUGUAAGCCAGAAAUGAAACACACCCUCCUAGGACA